AAAAGAAGUGAGGGGAGAUUUUCUAUACAGCAGUAAACAUACAGUUGAAUAUGCCAGCAUGAAAAAUUCCUCAGAUGGUUUUAAUACUCGUGAUUUACUUUGCUUACAGCAGUUAUGAGGCUAUUGUACAUUUAAUGACCACUAAGUUAGUCAAAUCUACCGCAUGUCUCCUAUGCUGGUAAAAACAAAAGUAUUCUUAGUAUGUCAUACUAAUAAGUACAGGUACGGUUAACCCAAAAGGGCUUAAAUGUUAAUUUAAUCUGUUCACUAAGGUAAUUCCACACCACUGUUUAUUGGGGAUGUUGAUUGUAGAGUGAUUCUGCACAAUUGAAACAGCCUCUACUGUGCAUUAUCUCUUGCUAAGUCAGCCUGAAUGUAGGGAGUUGUUUCAGUUCUUGUUCAAAGCUAGCGAUGGAGCUAAAAUGUACGGGAGUCAUGUUGAUCAAUAAGAUCGACACAAUAUUCAGUUAAAUCUCUUUCAGAUCUAUUCUCUUGUCACUUCGCCCCCAGGGCCAUUGCCUUUGACACAUUGCAUCCACGCCCUAAUACAAAACAAAACAUAGUAAGGAUGUGAAGUCACAAAUGAUUACGUCAUGUGACUACUUGUGAGCUCAGCACAUGUGAUCUUUGAUUGGAGGUAUUGGCUUUUUCCUCAACUCAACGCUGCAUGCUUGUCAAGAAGUUAUGAAUGCAAUCCAGAGAAAUAGUUUUGACGACAUUCGUUGAGGCUACUGUAGAAGCAAACAUGUAGCGUGCACUGUGUGAAAGGGAUUCUUCCAUUCGAGCCGGGUUAACCAGUUUUGGAGAUAAUCUCUUAUUCAUCUGCAAGCCACAGCCAAUGUCGACUGCAUACAUAUUUCAUUUGGUGAUAACCUAGAUAUCUCCCUAGUAACCCAACAGCAUAAACAACAAUGCAUUAUUUGUAGAUGCUGAUUUUUGUUAAUUUCCCCUCUGGAUCAAUUGUUUAUUGGCAACUAUCUGAAAAUUAAUAUAUAAUCAUCCCCUCUCUAGGCUACAGUGCACACAUGAACAAAACACACACGGGCGUUUGACAUGGUUCGCCAUCAGAACCCCAUUGAGUCAAUGGCUGCAUUGUAGUCCUCAGGAAUAUCAUCCUCCACAAAAGAGGGCAUAAAAGAGGUGCUUGGUCAUGUGUACGCCUCAGUGGAAUUCCUGAGUCACCGUCCCCCCCUCCGUCCCCCUCUCAUCUCUGCUGCUGCCUGCCCGGGACCUCCGGUGCAAUAACACGCCUUCCACUGUUCAAGGUUGGUCACACGGUGACGAGAUGAAUGGAAGGCUUGUUUUUCUGCGGCCUCGCCUCGCAUUCACCCACCAUUCAGGGGAGCGGCCAAAUCCAGACUUAACCCUUUACUGACCCAGUUUGACGACAACACGGUCCAAGGACCUGAGCCCUAGGACCAUGCCCCAGGACUACCUGACAUGAUGACUCCUUGCUGUCCCCAGUCCACCUGGUCGUGCUGCUGCUCCAGUUUCAACUGUUCUGCCUUAUUAUUAUUCGACCAUGCAUUUAUGAACAUUUGAACAUCUUGGCCAUGUUCUGUUAUAAUCUCCACCCGGCACAGCCAGAAGAGGACUGGCCAUCCCACAUAUGCUCUCUCUAAUUCUCUCUUUCUUUCUCUCUCUCGGAGGACCUGAGCCCUAGGACCAUGCCCCAGGAAUACCUGACAUGAUGACUCCUUGCUGUCCCCAGUCCACCUGACUGUGCUGCUGCUCCAGUUUCAACUGUUCUGCCUUAUUAUUAUUCGACCAUGCUGGUCAUUUAUGAACAUUUGAACAUCUUGACCAUGUUCUGUUAUAAUCUCCACCCGGCACAGCCAGGAGAGGACUGGCCACCCCACAUAGCCUGGUUCCUCUCUAGGUUUCUUCCUAGGUUUUGGCCAUUCUAGGGAGUUUUUCCUAGCCACCGUGCUUCUACACCUGCAUUGCUUGCUGUUUGGGGUUUUAGGCUGGGUUUCUGUACAGCACUUUGAGAUAUCAGCUGAUGUACGAAGGGCUAUAUAAAUACAUUUGAUUUGAUUUGAUUUGAUUUGAAUACAGACUUUCCUCAACCACCACCUUUCAAUAUACUGUAAAUAGGAAAGAAUAGUCAGCCAUUACAAUUUUAAGACCAUGUGGGUCACCUUCAAAAUCUUGGCCUGAUAGUAUAUUUCUUAGACUAACUUUCAAGUACAAUCCUAACUACCGGUACUAACAUUCUCUUUUCAAAAGGGCUAUUUUCCAUACAGGGCCUUUUGUCAGGGAAACUGUUUGUGUGUCUUCUCGGGCUCUUACAAACAGAAACCAAAUGCCGGCUGCAGUGUUGUGUUCUUCUGCUCUAUACCCCUGUGACCUCUGGCCAGAGUCAAUUUCAAAUGAAUGUCAG
ensembl:lncRNA